UGGCGAACGGGUGAGUAACACGUGGGUGAUCUGCCUUGCACUUCGGGAUAAGCUUGGGAAACUGGGUCUAAUACCGGAUAGGACAGCUGUUUAGUGUCAGUUGUGGAAAGUUUUUUCGGUGCAAGAUGAGCUCGCGGCCUAUCAGCUUGUUGGUGGGGUAAUGGCCUACCAAGGCGUCGACGGGUAGCCGGCCUGAGAGGGUGUACGGCCACAUUGGGACUGAGAUACGGCCCAG
rnacentral:rRNA from 1 species